UACGGGGGGGGCAAGCGUUGUUCGGAAUUACUGGGCGUAAAGGGCUCGUAGGCGGCCAACUAAGUCCGACGUGAAAUCCCCAGGCUUAACCUGGGAACUGCGUCGGAUACUGGAUGGCUUGAAUUCGGGAGAGGGAUGCAGAAUUCCAGGUGUAGCGGUGAAAUGCGUAGAGAUGUGGAGGAACACCAGUGGCGAAGGCGACUCUUUGGCCUGUAACUGACACUGAGGCGCGAAAGCGUGGGGAGCAAACAGG
rnacentral:rRNA from 1 species